AGCGUAGACGGUGUGGCAAGUCUGAUGUGAAAGGCAUGGGCUCAACCUGUGGACUGCAUUGGAAACUGUCAUACUUGAGUGCCGGAGGGGUAAGCGGAAUUCCUAGUGUAGCGGUGAAAUGCGUAGAUAUUAGGAGGAACACCAGUGGCGAAGGCGGCUUACUGGACGGUAACUGACGUUGAGGCUGAAAGCGUGGGGAGACAAACGA
rnacentral:rRNA from 1 species